CAAGAGGUAAUUUAAUGAAAAUGCUAGUUUUGGGGGUUAGUAAUAGGGGUUUGUCCCCCCUCCUUUUGA
rnacentral:tRNA from 1 species